rnacentral:rRNA from 1 species
GACGAACGCUGGCGGCGUGCUUAACACAUGCAAGUCGAACGGAAAGGCCCUGCUUUUGUGGGGUGCUCGAGUGGCGAACGGGUGAGUAACACGUGAGUAACCUGCCCUUGACUUUGGGAUAACUUCAGGAAACUGGGGCUACUACCGGAUAGGAGCCCCUGCUGCAUGGUGGGGGUUGGAAAGUUUCGGCGGUAGGGGAUGGACUCGCGGCUUAUCAGCUUGUUGGUGGGGUAGUGGCUUACCAAGGCUUUGACGGGUAGCCGGCCUGGGAGGGUGACCGGCCACAUUGGGACUGAGAUACGGCCCAGACUCCUACGUGGGGCAGCAGUGGGGAAUAUUGCACAAUGGGCGGAAGCCUGAUGCAGCAACGCCGCGUGCGGGAUGACGGCCUUCGGGUUGGAAACCGCUUUCGCCUGUGACGAAGCGUGAGUGACGGUAAUGGGUAAAGAAGCACCGGCUAACUACGUG